rnacentral:misc_RNA from 1 species
AAGUCGUAACAAGGUUUCCGUAGGUGAACCUGCGGAAGGAUCAUUAACACGUAUCCAACGUUAAACAACCCUGUGAACUUUAAGCCUACUCUUGCAGCCCAUGAGGAACAGCAAUCCCGGUAAAUCAUUGCCAAACAGUUUUGAUUCGGGACCUCUGUCCAAAAGGAGUUGCAAUUGAGUGGUAGAUGCAGUGGCAUGGCUUCCCCAAGCAGUUAGUGAAUGACAGUGUCACUGAUUGUGUAAGGAUAACGCCCUAAUCACUCCACUAGAAAAUGCCCCGCCUAGUGGUAACGCGCUAGGUAAAAAAAACCGAACAACUGUUAACAAUGGAUAUCUUGGUUCUC